UACAGAGGGUGCGAGCGUUGUUCGGAAUCACUGGGCGUAAAGGGCGCGUAGGCGGCCUGAUAAGUCGGGGGUGAAAGCCUGUGGCUCAACCACAGAAUUGCCUUCGAUACUGUUAGGCUUGAGACCGGAAGAGGUAAGUGGAACUGCGAGUGUAGAGGUGAAAUUCGUAGAUAUUCGCAAGAACACCAGUGGCGAAGGCGGCUUACUGGUCCGGUUCUGACGCUGAGGCGCGAAAGCGUGGGGAGCAAACAGG
rnacentral:rRNA from 1 species